rnacentral:rRNA from 1 species
CCCUUUUAGGGCUGUGCUUCCAACGCGACCCCAGGUCAGGCGGGAUUACCCGCUGAAUUUUAAGCAUAUCAAUAAGCGGGA